GAUGAACGCUGGCGGCGUGCCUAAUACAUGCAAGUCGAGCGAAUGGAUUGAGAGCUUGCUCUUAUGAAGUUAGCGGCGGACGGGUGAGUAACACGUGGGUAACCUGCCCAUAAGACUGGGAUAACUACGGGAAACCGGGGCUAAUACCGGAUAACAUUUUGAACAGCAUGGCUCGAAAUUGAAAGGCGGCUUCGGCGGUCACUUAUGGAUGGACCCGCGUCGGAUUAGCUAGUUGGUGAGGUAACGGCUCACCAAGGCAACGAUGCGUAGCCGACCUGAGAGGGUGAUCGGCCACACUGGGACUGAGACACGGCCCAGCCUCCUACGGGAGGCAGCAGUAGGGAAUCUUCCGCAAUGGACGAAAGUCUGACGGAGCAACGCCGCGUGAGUGAUGAAGGCUUUCGGGUCGUAAAACUCUGUUGUUAGGGAAGAACAAGUGCUAGUUGAAUAAGCUGGCACCUUGACGGUACCUAACCAGAAAGCCACGGCUAACUACGUGCCAGCAGCCGCCGUAA
rnacentral:rRNA from 1 species